rnacentral:rRNA from 1 species
AAUGAACGCUGGCGGCGUGCCUCAGACAUGCAAGUCGAACGAGAAAGUAGUCUUCGGAUUGCGAGUAAAGUGGCGCACGGGUGAGUAAGACUUAGGUAACAUACCUUUUCGCUGGGGAUAACUAGGGGAAACUCUAGCUAAUACCGAAUGAACCCAUAAUAUCUGCGGAUAUAAUGGGUAAAGCCGUAAGGCGCGAAGAGAGUGGCCUGAGCCCGAUUAGCUUGUUGGUGAGGUAAAGGCUCACCAAGGCUCCGAUCGGUAGCUGGUCUUAGAGGAUGAUCAGCCACACUGGUACUGGAACACGGACCAGACUCCUACGGGAGGCAGCAGUUAGGAAUAUUGCACAAUGGGGGAAACCCUGAUGCAGCAACGCCGCGUGAGUGAGGAAGGCCCUAGGGUCGUAAAGCUCUUUCAGUAGGGAAGAAAUAAAUGACGGUACCUACAGAAGAAGCACCGGCUAACUCCG